GACGAACGAGGGUGGCGGGCGUAACACAUGCAAGUCGAACGGAAAGGCCCUGCUUUUGGGGGGUGCUCGAGUGGCGAACGGGUGAGUAACACGUGAGUAACCUGCCCUUGACUUUGGGAUAACUUCAGGAAACUGGGGCUAAUACCGGAUAGGAGCUCCUGCGGCAUGGUGGGGGUUGGAAAGUUUCGGCGGUUGGGGAGGGACUCGGGGCUUAUCAGCUUGUUGGUGGGGUAGUGGCUUACCAAGGCUUUGACGGGUAGCCGGCCUGAGAGGGUGACCGGCCACAUUGGGACUGAGAUACGGCCCAGACUCCUACGGGAGGCAGCAGUGGGGAAUAUUGCACAAUGGGCGGAAGCCUGAUGCAGCAACGCCGCGUGCGGGAUGACGGCCUUCGGGUUGUAAACCGCUUUCGCCCGUGACGAAGCGUGAGUGACGGUAAUGGGUAAAGAAGCACCGGCUAACUACGUG
rnacentral:rRNA from 1 species